AUAACAUUGAAGUGGUAGCUUUAUUUAUUUAUUUAUUUAAACAAUAAUUAAAAAAAAUGAUAAUUGAAAUGCAUUUAAUACAAUAAAUCUCACAGUCUAAAUAGUGUAAUUAAAAACACAUUGCAUUAAUAUAACAUUUGUGUGUAACUUAAAAUAGUUAUUUUACACUCCAAAUAUUAUGAUAACUAAAGAUUCUGAGUAAAGUCUACAAAUGUAAAGCUGAUUUUUCUAUUGCAUCCACUUAACGUUUUAUGUUGAAAAAAAAAAACAACUUAAUCUGUUUUUCACAUUGUGUAAAAACUCAAAUGGUUAAAGCAAUGGGUUUCCACAAAAUAACAAUUUAUUUCUUAAAAAUAAUGAUUUCACUCUGGCACAAUUGAAAGUGAUUUUUUUUUUCCAGUUUUCUUUUAGGACUACGUUCUGUUGAAAAAGCUAUUAGUUUUCAUUCUUUGUCACCAGUCACUGUUGAAAUAUCCAACUCCUGCAUGUUAAAAGUGGAAUGAGAAACAUCAUCAUCACACUAAAUAAUAAGGCCCCGCCCCCCAAAAAACCCUAAAGUUCAACGAGGCUUGGCGACUGUGCCUGGACAUAAAGGAGUUAAUAUACAAGAGAGAGAAGGAGGAAGUCUGUUAUGCAUGUUACUUAAAACUAAAGUAGAUAGAUAGGUUCCGUGCAUGUUCAGUUUCGUUUUUAUCGUACCGCUGUAAAGCAAGAAGUUCUCCUGUUUUGAUGCGUGGAUAAAAAGCUUAAACUUUACCUAUUUCAUCACAUACUUUAUUAGUAAGCAUCCAUCAUCAGGACUGCAACAAGGAGUGUUAUAUAAACAUGGAUACACAAUGCAGAAAGAAGUUGGACAAGGGGUUUCAGGCAGAGUGUUUCUAGUGACCAACUCAGAUGGAGAUCCUUAUGUGAUAAAACAGAUGAAUUCAAGAGAUAGGACGGAUCUGAACAGAGUCCAAAAGGAAGUCACAAUCUUGAAGAAAAUAAACUGUGGAUAUAUUGUUUCUUAUGUGGAAUCAUUUGAAGAUACAGACGCUGAAUUCUUUUAUGUUGUGAUGGAGUAUUGUGCAGGAGGAGAUCUUAAUGAGAGGAUGAAAGCACAGAAAGAGAUAGGGGUUUUUGAAGAACAACAGUGUGCGUUUCCUGGUGUCAAUAAAGUCUUAUAUUUGCCAAUCCUACGUCAAGCCGUCGGCCACUCGAAAGUCAAGCCCGGCCGCUGCACUCUCAAACCCACCAGCUGCUCCUCAGCCAAGGCCGCUGGCCGCUGCACUCUCAAGUCCACAGGCCAAUUCCCUUCCAAGCCCUCAGCUAACAGCAGCCCACUCCUAAACUCCAAACCAAUGAAGGAGUAG
ensembl:lncRNA